GACGAACGCUGGCGGCGUGCUUAACACAUGCAAGUCGAACGGAAAGGCCCUGCUUUUGUGGGGUGCUCGAGUGGCGAACGGGUGAGUAACACGUGAGUAACCUGCCCUUGACUUUGGGAUAACUUCAGGAAACUGGGGCUAAUACCGGAUAGGAGCUCCUGCUGCAUGGUGGGGGUUGGAAAGUUUCGGCGGUUGGGGAUGGACUCGCGGCUUAUCAGCUUGUUGGUGGGGUAGUGGCUUACCAAGGCUUUGACGGGUAGCCGGCCUGAGAGGGUGACCGGCCACAUUGGGACUGAGAUACGGCCCAGAAUCCUACGGGAGGCAGCAGUGGGGAAUAUUGCACAGUGGGCGGAAGCGUGAUGCAGCAACGCCGCGUGCGGGAUGACGGCCUUCGGGUUGUAAACCGCUUUCGCCUGUGACGAAGCGUGAGUGACGGUAAUGGGUAAAGAAGCACCGGCUAACUACGUG
rnacentral:rRNA from 1 species